rnacentral:sRNA from 1 species
GUACAAAUAAAUGAACACACAGACCAGACGUCCAUAGAGAUAAAGUACAUAAAUAAUAAAUCUUUAAAAAAGAAUUAAUUUAAGAUUCUAGUCACUGAGAAGAUGGGAAAUACUAAUUUCAAAUGCAUCCAACAACUUAGCCUUUAAAAAAAUCUAUAAAGCAAAAAAGUGUUCCAAACUAUAAGGUAAGAUAAAAUCCCACAAUGUGUGUAGGAGAAAACCAUACACUGUUUUUAUUUCAUAUAAACAAGGAGGAGUUACUACACACAAGGCGCUCUCCCAAACACUGUACAUAUGUUAGCUCCUUUAAUCUUUGCAGGAGGCCCAGGAAGCAGCUGCUCUCACUUACUAGAUGUGGCUUCGGAAAUACUGAGAGCUUCAUUAAUUUGCCCUAAGUCACAGAUUUGGUAAGCAUCAGGGCUGAGACUCAAAACCAGGCGUGGGUCCCAGGAAUAAUUAUUUACAAACUCUCUGAGAAUCCUUUAACUCAGUCAAGUUGACACCUAAAAUCAACCAUCACAGAUGUAUGGGGAGAGUGUAGGAGGGCUCCAGAUGUGGAGCCUGGGAAAAAAAACAAAAAAGGAAACCGAGGCUGGAACCCAGGGGCGUCAUUUACAUUAAUCUCUUAGUAGCUUUUUAAAAAUCGGGUAUCACAAGCUUGAGAUGAGAGCACGGCGGUUUGUGGAUGAUUGAAGCUGCAGUUCAAAUGUUUAUUAUCUGACACCUGAUCUGUGAGUUUCAUUCUUUAUUUGCAGGUGACCUUGUGAGUUUGUGGCAUGUGCCUUUGUGAGGAUCCCUUCCAUUCGCUUCUGCAUACAGACAGACCCUAACUUUCACGGCUACUUCCUGACAUCUCAGUCAGUCACCUGCAGUGUGGAAAUCUUGAUGAGCCCCUCUAAGAAAAUGAACGUGGGGUAUGAACAGCAUUGAGCCCAUGGGCUGUGGGGACAUUAGAGAAAAGGAGGCAGAAAGAAUGGAAAAGCCAGGAGCUGAGGAGGACAGCUGUGAGAUGCUUCCAGACACGGUGGGACAUGGCUAUUGCGCUCACAGACUCAAAGCAGCGAUGGUACCUACACAACCCGAUCAAGCCGGUCAAGUCGGAUGUGGUGGCCCACACCUCUGAUCAGA